UUCCUUCACCGUGGAAGUCAAUCGUGAACAUUUGUUGAGUACGUAUUUCAUUAGAAAAAUUGGUACCCGCCUGCGGGAUUCGAACACUGGUGCAUCGCUCAACACGAAUGCACCGGACGUCUUAUCCGUUAGGCCACGACGACUACAUACUACUACAUACUGCCUGACCAUUCUUACUAUAGGGUUAUAGUAUGAUAUAUUUAUAUGUCGGCAUCCGAGUUCAAUAUUUAAUUCAGUAAGGAUGACCCAUCGUCCGUUUUCAGGGGAUAAAGUGUUGCUAUUGACACUGUCCGGUCCAUAUAAAUAAACUAGUUUUAGUCAACGGGUUCGUCCGAGUUAAAUAUUUAAUUCAGUAAGGAUGACCCAUCGUCAACUUUCUGGGGAUAAAGAGUUGCUAUUUUUUCACUGGUAUCCUAAAGUGCUGUUCUAGCUACGCUGAAACUGGUAGGUGAGCUCACGGGGCUCAACCUAAGAGAAUGUGCUAACCCUGGCUUUAGCAAGAGCAGCGCUUUGCUGAAUCUAGCACCGGAUCGGAAUCGUGACCCACUGAGAAGAUCCGCCGAGAAACUCAAUGGGUUUGUUUGCUCGUCGAACUCUUGGGCGGUGACCGGUGCUUGAAGAUCCUAAAAGCGCCGCGAUUGGACCCGGGUGAUCAUGUCAAUCGAUUUAUAGAUCUAAUAUUACGUAAAAACGCGAACAAACAAACACCCUCGUAUUUGUUACAGCAGAUAUAGCCGGCGUUGUUCGGCAGCUGUAUCACGUAUUUCGCAGACAAUUAGCAGAAGACAAAUAUUGUGCAAAUAUUGCUGUCAACUGUCCAUUUCGUAUUACGGACUUACAACAAAAAAGCAGAUCGCGGACCAUCACUAGUGCUGCCUCUGCAGAGCGAUUUGUGAAACUUUAGUGCAUUCUUUUCCAUACAACUAACAACAACUGGUCUAAAGUCGGUAUUACGGAUGCUUUUGUGUGCCACACAACAGCAGAUAUUUAGCAAUUUCGUUUGUCAAAUUUGCGACACCUUUUGUAUCUGGUGCUGAAUUGUUGCUAACUAUCUGCAAGUGUAAAAUUUGUGAAAUUAAAUUAUUUUAACUUGAUUUAGGUAUGUACUAUGGACAGAGCUCAAAUAAUAAAUGGGGCUUUGGAGUCUAAGGAAAUUAGGUCGGAUACAUACGAAUUAGUGCGUUUGCGACGCUGUCUUCGUGAUCAAGCCUGACCCCUUAAUCUAUCGGAAAGUUUGUUCAGAACACAUUACAGAAUUUCGAAACAUCAAUAUUUACAAUUGUGCUCUGAAUUAAAGCCGUUAAUAACCUAGAUCAUCAAGACGAACAAGAAUAGAAAGUAAAAUGCAAGGUGUUAACAGCAUUGCAAAAUUUCAUACCAGAAACCUGUGGGAAUGAGCUUUUUGCAUUUUGAGUUAAACUGUAGUAAAUCCAAUGCCAUUAGGGAAGUGGCUAUGGCAUUAAACAAUCUUCCAAUUUUAUUGAAACAUUUAAAGUUUCUGCAAACAGUACAAUGGGUCACAAGUUAUUAUAAAUGGGUUUUACAAUAAAUUUGGCUAUCCUGGGGUUUUGGGGUGUAUAGAUGGCACUCAUUUGCACUUAUCAGAUCUUCUGUAUAUGAAGAAAGGUUUUAGAACCGCAAGCAUUAUCAUUUCAAGAAUGUGCAAAUACUAAGUAUUUUGAUGAAGCCUAUCAUUCACAAUAACAAACAUUUGAUAGUACUUAUCUAAAGAAUUAAAUUUUUCAGAUCUGUGAUAGUGAUCUUAACAUUUUAAGUAUUGAUGCAACAUUUCAUGAUACAUUUGUCUGGCUUAUCACAACUGAAUAUGCCUAUGCAGGACCUGCACCAUAAUAGUAAAAAAGUUUUGUUUUUAGGCAAGUAAAACAUCAUGAGCUCUGUCUCAGUAACCUGACUACAAAAUAAUACUCAAUCUAAAAGUAUAUUUAAAACUGGGAAGGCCGUUAAUAUAUAGUACUAUAGUAAUGUUUAUUGUCAUACCAGGAACACUGUUGACCAUUGUGAGUAUUGAAGGCCAGUUGGAGAUGCUUGUUGGUACAUAGAGUACUGCAUUAUGAUCAUCAUAUGAUGGCCAAGACCAUAAUUGUUAGCUUGUAUUGCAUAACAUGGCAAACACACAUGGGUUUCCAGUGCCCCAACUCUCUGACGAAGAUGCUGAAAUUGAUGUUUCUUAUCAAAUUCAUAAUAUUGUAUUUUUUGGGAGAGAAGAGGAAACACAGCACUUAGCACCAUGUCAACAUUCAAGGGUGGUUCAAUUGGAUUGUGGAGAACAGACAUUAAAUUUAGUCCAACCUCUGUAUUCUAGUAAUUUUAUGUAGAUAUUUUUAAAACUGCUGUUCUUAAUUAUGUGAACUGAGAGGGCAAGAAUAGCCUAAUUAUUUCUGCCUAUAAUUUUUUAAUUGUGUUUAGUGGAAAUAUACAUAUUUCCUUAACAUUUUUGUGUUUAUAGUAAAGGAUGGAUUCAUAACAAUUUGAAAGCAAAAUUGUGAGGUUGUUUUAUUAAGACAAUGUUUUAAUCUGUCGUGCUCAAUUUGUUCUGUAUCAUUUUAUCUUUAUGUUAACCCCGUUUGUAUGUUGUGUUGUUAUAUAUAUUAUUGUAUAUACUGCUGUUUUAAAUAAUAGAAUAGAAUGAAUAACAAAUCGACUAGUAAUUCAUAAUUCUUCUAGAUUUUGUUGGAUACUUACAUGAAUAUUAUUUACAAAAUGAAAAACAUAAUUCAUAAUUUAGACAAAAUGUGGAUCAACCACCACUCAUUUUUGUUCAUUGUGAUAAUAAUAAUAAUAUAAAUAUAAAUAUUUAACUGGUCCCGUGAUAAAUUCGUAAAGAACUUGUGUUACAGGUACCAGAUAACGGAAAUAAAUGUAGGAUUUUUAUUAUACACAUACAUAUAUUUAAUAUACAUCCAUAACCCUGGAAAAGACAUUUAUAUUUAUCAUACAAAUAUCUUUCCUUGGCGGGAUUCGAACCCGCGACCCCCUUGUGUAGCGACCAUGUCACUAACCACUACACCAGACGGCCGUUAGAUAAGUUUGAUAAUUAUUAUUUUUGUGUAAUUUUGUUUUAUUUGAAUAAUAAUUCUUAAAUUAGGAAA